rnacentral:rRNA from 1 species
CCCAGACUCCUACGGGAGGCAGCAGUGAGGAAUAUUGGUCAAUGGGCGAGAGCCUGAACCAGCCAAGUCGCGUGAAGGAUGACGGCCCUACGGGUUGUAAACUUCUUUUGUCAGGGAGCAAUUGGGUCCACGCGUGGGCUUAGCGAGAGUACCUGAAGAAAAAGCAUCGGCUAACUCCGUGCCAGCAGCCGCGGUAAUACGGAGGAUUCAAGCGUUAUCCGGAUUUAUUGGGUUUAAAGGGUGCGUAGGCGGUCGGAUAAGUUAGAGGUGAAAUCCCGAGGCUCAACUUCGGAAUUGCCUCUGAUACUGUUCGGCUAGAGAGUAGUUGCGGUAGGCGGAAUGUAUGGUGUAGCGGUGAAAUGCUUAGAGAUCAUACAGAACACCGAUUGCGAAGGCAGCUUACCAAGCUACUUCUGACGUUGAGGCACGAAAGCGUGGGGAGCAAACAGGAUUAGAUACCCGAGUCU